rnacentral:rRNA from 1 species
UCUAUGACGGGUAUCCGGCCUGAGAGGGUGAUCGGACACACUGGAACUGAGACACGGUCCAGACUCCUACGGGAGGCAGCAGUAGGGAAUAUUGCUCAAUGGGGGAAACCCUGAAGCAGCAACGCCGCGUGGAGGAUGAAGGUUUUAGGAUUGUAAACUCCUUUUGUUAGAGAAGAUAAUGACGGUAUCUAACGAAUAAGCACCGGCUAACUCCGUGCCAGCAGCCGCGGUAAUACGGAGGGUGCAAGCGUUACUCGGAAUCACUGGGCGUAAAGAGCGCGUAGGCGGGAUAGUCAGUCAGGUGUGAAAUCCUAUGGCUUAACCAUAGAACUGCAUUUGAAACUACUAUUCUAGAGUGUGGGAGAGGUAGGUGGAAU